UGCGGAAGGAUCAUUACCGAGUGCGGGCCCUCUGGGUCCAACCUCCCAUCCGUGUCUAUCUGUACCCUGUUGCUUCGGCGUGGCCACGGCCCGCCGGAGACUAACAUUUGAACGCUGUCUGAAGUUUGCAGUCUGAGUUUUUAGUUAAACAAUCGUUAAAACUUUCAACAACGGAUCUCUUGGUUCCGGCAUCGAUGAAGAACGCAGCGAAAUGCGAUAAUUAAUGUGAAUUGCAGAAUUCAGUGAAUCAUCGAGUCUUUGAACGCACAUUGCGCCCCCUGGUAUUCCGGGGGGCAUGCCUGUCCGAGCGUCAUUGCUGCCCUCAAGCACGGCUUGUGUGUUGGGCUUCCGUCCCUGGCAACGGGGACGGGCCCAAAAGGCAGUGGCGGCACCAUGUCUGGUCCUCGAGCGUAUGGGGCUUUGUCACCCGCUCCCGUAGGUCCAGCUGGCAGCUAGCCUCGCAACCAAUCUUUUUAACCAGGUUGACCUUCGGAUCAGGUAGGGAUACCCGCUGAACUUAAGCAU
rnacentral:rRNA from 1 species